GACGAACGCUGGCGGCGUGCUUAACACAUGCAAGUCGAACGGAAAGGCCCUGCUUUUGUGGGGUGCUCGAGUGGCGAACGGGUGAGUAACACGUGAGUAACCUGCCCUUGACUUUGGGAUAACUUCAGGAAACUGGGGCUAAUACCGGAUAGGAGCUCCUGCUGCAUGGUGGGGGUUGGAAAGUUUCGGCGGUUGGGGAUGGACUCGCGGCUUAUCAGCUUGUUGGUGGGGUAGUGGCUUACCAAGGCUUUGACGGGUAGCCGGCCUGAGAGGGUGACCGGCCACAUUGGGACUGAGAUACGGCCCAGACUCCUACGGGAGGCAGCAGUGGGGAAUAUUGCACAAUGGGCGGAAGCCUGAUGCAGCAACGCCGCGUGCGGGAUGACGGCCUUCGGGUUGUAAACCGCUUUCGCCUGUGACGAAGCGUGAGUGACGGUAAUGGGUAAAGAAGCACCGGCAAACUACGU
rnacentral:rRNA from 1 species